rnacentral:tRNA from 1 species
AGGGGUAUAGCUCAGCUGGUAGAGCAUCGGUCUCCAAAACCGAGGGUCGGGGGUUCGAGUCCCUCUGCCCCUG